GAUCAUGGCUACGAGGACGAACGCUGGCGGCGUGCUUAACACAUGCAAGUCGAGCGAUGAAGUUCCUUCGGGAAAUGGAUUAGCGGCGGACGGGUGAGUAACACGUGGGUAACCUGCCUCAUAGAGGGGAAUAGCCUUUCGAAAGGAAGAUUAAUACCGCAUAAGAUUGUAAUGUCGCAUGACAUAGCAAUUAAAGGAGUAAUCCGCUAUGAGAUGGACCCGCGUCGCAUUAGCUAGUUGGUGAGGUAACGGCUCACCAAGGCGACGAUGCGUAGCCGACCUGAGAGGGUGAUCGGCCACAUUGGGACUGAGACACGGCCCAGACUCCUACGGGAGGCAGCAGUGGGAAUAUUGCACAAUGGGGGAAACCCUGAUGCAAGCAACGCCGCGUGAGUGAUGAAGGUCUUCGGAUUGUAAAGCUCUGUCUUUAGGGACGAUAAUGACGGUACCUAAGGAGGAAGCCACGGCUAACUACGUGCCAGCCGCAGC
rnacentral:rRNA from 1 species